rnacentral:rRNA from 1 species
CAGGGGCGGCCUACCAUGCAGUCGAGCGGAACGAGUUAUCUGAACCUUCGGGGAACGAUAACGGCGUCGAGCGGCGGACGGGUGAGUAAUGCCUAGGAAAUUGCCCUGAUGUGGGGGAUAACCAUUGGAAACGAUGGCUAAUACCGCAUGAUGCCUACGGGCCAAAGAGGGGGACCUUCGGGCCUCUCGCGUCAGGAUAUGCCUAGGUGGGAUUAGCUAGUUGGUGAGGUAAGGGCUCACCAAGGCGACGAUCCCUAGCUGGUCUGAGAGGAUGAUCAGCCACACUGGAACUGAGACACGGUCCAGACUCCUACGGGAGGCAGCAGUGGGGAAUAUUGCACAAUGGGCGCAAGCCUGAUGCAGCCAUGCCGCGUGUGUGAAGAAGGCCUUCGGGUUGUAAAGCACUUUCAGUCGUGAGGAAGGCGGCGUCGUUAAUAGCUGCAUUAUUUGACGUUAGCGACAGAAGAAGCACCGGCUAACUCCGUGCCAGCAGCCGCGGUAAUACGGAGGGUGCGAGCGUUAAUCGGAAUUACUGGGCGUAAAGCGCAUGCAGGUGGUUUGUUAAGUCAGAUGUGAAAGCCCGGGGCUCAACCUCGGAAUAGCAUUUGAAACUGGCAGACUAGAGUACUGUAGAGGGGGGUAGAAUUUCAGGUGUAGCGGUGAAAUGCGUAGAGAUCUGAAGGAAUACCGGUGGCGAAGGCGGCCCCCUGGACAGAUACUGACACUCAGAUGCGAAAGCGUGGGGAGCAAACAGGAUUAGAUACCCUGGUAGUCCACGCCGUAAACGAUGUCUACUUGGAGGUUGUGGCCUUGAGCCGUGGCUUUCGGAGCUAACGCGUUAAGUAGACCGCCUGGGGAGUACGGUCGCAAGAUUAAAACUCAAAUGAAUUGACGGGGGCCCGCACAAGCGGUGGAGCAUGUGGUUUAAUUCGAUGCAACGCGAAGAACCCUUACCUACUCUUGACAUCCAGAGAACUUUCCAGAGAUGGGAUUGGUGCCUUUCGGGAACUCUGAGACAGUGCUGCAUGGCUGUCGUCAGCUCGUGUUGUGAAAUGUUGGGUAAGUCCCGCACGAGCGCACCUUAUCCUGUUGCCAGCGAGUUAUGUCGGGACUCAGGAGACUGCCGGUGGAUAACCGGAAGAAGGGUGGGGAACGAACU